AAGAGUCAUCGAAAUUAAUUUUGACAGUAAAACCAUCUGGUGGGCACCAACCCACACAUUCAUGCCUCAUGAUCACCCAUAAAGAGCAGCAAAAUACUCAACAUUGAAUUUUGGAACUGUUCUUCAACACCCAGGUAAGCCACGCCCAGUGUGACAAAAUUAAAUUUGUUAAUACCCAAUCCAAAUUCAAGCUAAUCCAAAUUUCUUGUGUCACUGGGCAUUCUCUGAAGAUAUGGUCAAUGUUUUCAGCAGCUACACUACAUCUAGGACAGACUACCAUCAAGAGCAAUCUCUUGCACUGAAGAUUAACAAAAUGAGGAAUAAAAUUCCAUGAAAUUUUCCAAAUUAGGAUUUUUGUUUUCCCUGGAAUGUGAAUAUUCCAUAAUUUUUUGGUAAAAUAAAUUAGCCUUGGUCUGUAAAUAAUUAGGAAUAAAGGUAAUAGUUUAUAAGCACUUCUCACUGAAAAUUCUCCCGAGGCCUCCCCCUUCCAUGCCAUGAAGUCCUCAUGAAGUUCCAUUACUAAAGGAAUUCGCACAACUUUGUCUGUUUCUUAUCUAGAGAAGGUAAAAUAAAUCAAAUCAGACUUCCAUUCUCUCUUCUGUUCAUCAAUAAACUCUGCCACUUUACUUAGUUCA